GAUGAACGCUGGCGGCGUGCCUAAUACAUGCAAGUCGAGCGAACGGACGAGAAGCUUGCUUCUCUGAUGUUAGCGGCGGACGGGUGAGUAAAACGUGGAUAACCUACCUAUAAGACUGGGAUAACUUCGGGAAACCGGAGCUAAUACCGGAUAAUAUUUUGAACCGCAUGGUUCAAAAGUGAAAGACGGUCUUGCUGUCACUUAUAGAUGGAUCCGCGCUGCAUUAGCUAGUUGGUAAGGUAACGGCUUACCAAGGCAACGAUGCAUAGCCGACCUGAGAGGGUGAUCGGCCACACUGGAACUGAGACACGGUCCAGACUCCUACGGGAGGCAGCAGUAGGGAAUCUUCCGCAAUGGGCGAAAGCCUGACGGAGCAACGCCGCGUGAGUGAUGAAGGUCUUCGGAUCGUAAAACUCUGUUAUUAGGGAAGAACAUAUGUGUAAGUAACUGUGCACAUCUCGACGGUACCUAAUCAGAAAGCCACGGCUAACUACGUG
rnacentral:rRNA from 1 species